CAAGAGCGUAUAUUAAAGUUGUUGCAGUUAAAAAGCUCGUAGUCGCAUUUCUGGCGAGAGGAAUUGGUCCGACAUUUAUUGUGGGUACUCGAUUCUCUCUCGCCAUCCUUGAGUGGUCCGUUCUGGCAUUUAGUUGUCGGAGCGUCAGCCGCUCAUCGUUUACUGUGAGAAAAUUAGAGUGUUUAAAGCAGGCUAUUGCCUUGAAUACAUUAGCAUGGAAUAAUAAUCUAGGACUUCGGUUCUAUUUUGUUUGGUUUCUUAGUACUGAAGUAAUGAUUGAUAGGGAUAGUUGGGGGUGGCUAGUAUUGACCGGCCACGAGGUGGAAAUUCUUAGAUUUACGUAAAGACAAACUAACUGCGAAAGCAUUUACCUAAGGAUGUUUUCAUUGAUCAAGAACGAAAGUAUGGGGAUCGAAGAUGAUUAGAUACCGU
rnacentral:rRNA from 1 species